GAUGAAGAACGUAGCGAAAUGCGAUAAGUAAUGUGAACUGCAGAAUUCAGUGAAUCAUCGAAUCUUUGAACGCACAUUGCGCCCCUUGGUAUUCCGAGGGGCAUGCCUGUUCGAGCGUCAUUAUAACCCCUCAAGCUCAGCUUGGUAUUGGGGCCUGCCAUCCUGGCAGCCCUUAAAAUCAGUGGCGGUGCCAUCCGGCUCUAAGCGUAGUAACUCUUCUCGCUAUGGAGUCCUGGUGGAUGCUUGCCAUUAAUCUUUUAACUUCUAUGGUUGACCUCGGAUCAGGUAGGGAUACCCGCUGAACUUAAGCAUAUCAAUAAGCGGAGGA
rnacentral:misc_RNA from 1 species